rnacentral:rRNA from 1 species
CAGCUCCAAUAGUGUAUAUUAAAGUUGUUGCGGUUAAAAAGCUCGUAGUUGGUUCUGCGUGCCACGCUGUCGGUUCACCGCCUGUCGGUGCAACUGGCAUGCCGUGGCAUGUCCUGUCGGUGGCUGACAGGCUUCGCGGCGCGCCCUAUGCGUUCAUACGUGUAGGCAGUUGCGCCGCGUCGUCCUUGUAGGCCGGCUCAAUCCUACCGCGGUGCUCUUUGCCGAGUGUCGAGGUAGGCCGACACUGUUUACUUUGAACAAAUUAGAGUGCUUCAAGCAGGCUCUGAAAGCAGCCUGAAUAGUGGUGCAUGGAAUAAUGGAACAGGACCUUGGUUCUAUUUUGUUGGUUUUCGGAAUCCAAGGUAAUGAUCAAUAAGGACAGGCGGGGGCAUUCGUAUUGCGACGUUAGAGGUGAAAUUCUUGGAUCGUCGCAAGACGCACUAGAGCGAAAGCAUUUGCCAAGUAUGUCUUAAUUGAUCAAGAACGAAAGUUAGAGGUUCGAAGGCGAUCAGAUACCGCCCUAGUUCUAACCAUAAACGAUGCCAGCCAGCGAUCCGCCGAUGUUCCUCCGAUGACUCGGCGGGGAGCUUCCCCCGGGAAACCAAAGCUUUUGGGUUCCGGGGGAAGUAUGGUUGCAAAGCUGAAACUUAAAGGAAUUGACGGAAGGGCACCACAAGGAGUGGAGCCUGCGGCUUAAUUUGACUCAACACGGGAAACCUCACCAGGCCCGGACAUUGGAAGGAUUGACAGAUCGAUAGCUCUUUCUCGAUUCAGUGGGUAGUGG